rnacentral:lncRNA from 1 species
AUGUGGUGGUGCGAAGGUCUGCCGAUUUCAGAGUCCAUGGUUUCAUCAAGUCCAGCUCUGUUGCCUCCACAACUAAAGGGAAAGAUUCACCUUGAACCCACAAACUCUCACCAGCCUUUCCUUAGUAACGGGUCAGUCAUCCCUCAAGCUUUCACCAGAUGUUUUGCCUUCGGCAACCACGAUCACCCCGCUGGAUCCGAACUGGCCUUUCUGGACCACGGAUGGGAGCUUCCGGAACAGCUGGAGGCUGUGUUUCCAGUGGCCUACAAGAGCCAGUUUGGCUGUAGUGGCAGGUAUAUUUGCUGUUGCUGAAGAAAGGGAGGAGGAAGAGAGAAAGGAGGAGGAGGAAGAAAAGUUGAAAGAGGAAACUGGACGUCCUUCUCUUCCUGUUCCUCUCCUCUGCCCCGCCACCACCACAAUAAUACUAAUAAUAGGGGUGGUAUUUUUCAAGUGCUUACUAAUGUGCCAGGAACUAUAUUGAGCACUGGGGCAGAUACAAAAUAAUUGGGUUGGUCAGUCUUAAUCCCCAUUUUCCAGAUGAGGAAACUGCGGCAGAAAGAAGUUAAGUGACUUGCCCAAGGUCACACAGCAGACAAGAGACAGAACCGGGAUUAGAACCCAGGUCCUUCUGACUCCCAGCCCCGUGUUCUAUCCACUAAGCCAGGCUGCUUCUAAUCCACUAAACCACAAUCAUCUCCCUUGCAGCAGAAGAGUUCUCUUUGCCCAUUCCAGGUAAAAAGCAAGCCCCUAUAAAGUGUCCACUUUAGGGUUUUGGAGUGGCGGGACUGAUUUCCAAAAACACGAGCAUCCAACUGAAUGUGUGGCGUCCGUUCACUCUACCCAGAGAUGCCUGUGCAUUCUUUUUCAUUCUCUGUAUAAAGGGACCAUUGUCUUUAUGGCACUGUAACUCAAAUCUCAGCAGGAGCCACAUAAAUAUCAAGGUUAUAGGCCUGAGCUUUUCUCAUUUAUGCUCCUAUUCUAAUGUUAUUAGGGGGCUUUAAGGAGGCUCUGUUCAGGUGGAGACUAUUGUGAUUCAGCCUCACAGCCAAUUCUGGCCUACCAUCAACCUGCUGUGCCAUAUGAGGGCACCUGCAAUUGCAUUUCAAGAUGGCAUAUCUCAGAUACAUUUGACUUGAAGACCAGGAACUAGAAAUACACUAUUCAGAAUGCUCAGGAAAGGCCCGCUGUAAUUGUCCUCAAAAGACUUUUUUUAAAAAAAUAAUUAUUUUGGGAUAUCAAGAGGUAAGAUUUAAAACCUUUCUAUUUUCCCUAAAAACCUUUGGCUUUGUUUUUAUUGAUUGCCUAGGAGACUAAAUAUACUUUAUACUCGUAAAAUAUCAUUUUAGAGACAGAGAGAGAAUAUUGGUCAUGUCCUUAUGAACAGAACUGAAAAAUUUAUGUGUUAUAAAAAUAGAGGAAAACAAAAUUAAAUAUUUAAUUUUGAAUGAAAGCUCAGAUUCAUAUUUACUGUGCUCUUAGAAGAGAAGACAUUGACUGCCCAGAAAAUGAGAUUACACUUUAAAAAUAUAUUUCUUCCUAUCUGGUACUGAAGGCUUUUAAAACCUAAGGAACAUUAUUCAGAAGCUAGAGUAAUAAAUACAAAAUAGACUUAGUAAAGCAUAGACAUUAUUUACAUUCCCU